rnacentral:rRNA from 1 species
AACGAACGCUGGCGGCGUGCCUAACACAUGCAAGUCGCGCGGGAAAGUUCCCUUCGGGGAGCGAGUAUAGCGGCGCACGGGUGAGUAAUACGUAGGUAACCUGCCCUUGAGACUGGGACAACCUGUCGAAAGACGGGCUAAAUACCGGAUAAGACCACGAGAGCUGCGGCUCUUGGGGUAAAAGGUAGGCCUCUGCUUGCAAGCUAUCACUUGAGGAUGGGCCUGCGCGCCAUUAAGCUAGUUGGUGAGGUAAACGGCUCACCAAAGGCAGAGAUGGCUAGCUGGUCUGAGAGGAUGACCAG